CUGGACGGGGCCGCAGUCUUGAGCUCUUACAAAAGGAAACAGGUGGCUGGUCACUUUGGACAUAUUCCCUCUGGCAGAGGUAUAUUUAAAAGCCUGGGGGAAGGUUUUGGUCAUGAGCAAGCCAUGGAAUUGAGGGAGAGGAAGAGUUUUUGCCAAUUUCUCCAAGUCAAGUGUGUGAAAGGAGACACCUAAUCUCUGCUUAUAGCACUUGCACCCUCGCAGUUUCAUGAGACCCACAUUAACGAAAGCUGGACAGAUUUGUCCUCAAGAACCACAUGCUCCAUGGAAAAAUAUUACCUACCGAUUGAUUAAAAGAC
rnacentral:lncRNA from 1 species